CCUGUUUUAGAAAGUGGCCAUGCACUGAAUUCCACAGCUGAAGUUUUAUUGGGAGUGAUAAGAAAACAAAAACUUCAAACAACAACCAAGUACAUCUCCAGAACCAAAGAAAUGUUGUACACAAGCAGAGAUGAGGCACUUGCAAAGCCAGAUUGCCUGGGAAAGAGAUGAAGAAAACACAGAAGCCUUCCCAAAUCUAGUGCCC